AGACAACUAGGAUGUUGGCUUAGAAGCAGCCACUCAUUAAAAGAGUGCGUAAUAGCUCACUAGUCAAGAGAUCCUGCGCCGAAAAUGUCCGGGGCUCAAACUUACCACCGAAGCUACGGGUUCACACGUUUGUGUGAGCGGUAGAGGAGCGUCGUAAUCGGGCUGAAGUCGUACCGUAAGGAGCGGUGGACUGAUUACGAG
rnacentral:rRNA from 1 species